rnacentral:tRNA from 5 species
AGGGGCGUAGUUCAAUGGCAGAACAGAGGUCUCCAAAACCUCAAAUGCGGGUUCGAUUCCUGCCGCCCCUGCCA